rnacentral:rRNA from 1 species
GAGUGCGAUCAUACCAGCAUUAAUGCACCGAAUCCCAUCAGAACUCCACAGCUAAGCGUGCUUGGGAGAGAGUAGUACUAAGAUGGGUGACCUCCUAGGAAGUUAGGCUGUAUCAUGCAUA